CACCUCCCGUCCGGCAGGCGGCGCCCGUCCGCCAUGACGUAUUUAAGCAGCGACGGAACGUUGCCUCGGUCAUUUAACUACAGCCGGGCGAGAGGAGAAGGUAACUCUGUCUUUACUGCUGAUUUUUUGUUUAUCUCAUAGAUUAAAAUGUAUAAUUUAAUAUCAGUCUGUUUAAAUGUGCUACAAUUAAUCGUCAUCUGAUAAUGUGUAGACGAGAUGACGAGUUUAUUUGGUGGAUGGAGUUAGAUUGUUCCACGCUCAUUUCUGUCGCGAACUUUAACUUCCACGUUGUGACGCAUCACGAGCUCAUUUCAUGAUACUUUCUGAUGAAGUUGCGUUUAACUCUUUGCGUUUUACCGAUAAACUUACAGAAGUUUUCUAUAAAAUGAUGUAUUUGUAGCUUUUCCGUGUUUCUGUGGCUUCAACCUGUAUAAUCUGUAAGAGCUGUAGAUUUUGUUGCUGUCCAGCUAUGGACCAAACAAAACAUUUCUAGAUUAUUACAGUAGUAGAUUAAUUUACUGAACAUGUGUAGUAGAAUGAAGUAUGUUCAUUAUGAAUUCACUAUUUUAGUAAAAUAACAUGAUUUAUAAUUUUUUUGUGGCUAAAUUUAACAUCUUUAAUGAAACAUUGUAGCGAAACCCUAUAAAAUUAGAAAACUCUCUUAAUGAGCAGGAAACUAAGCCAACUUGUGGCUCAAACAUCAUAUUAUGUUACCUUUAUUUUAUUACAUUAAUUAGGAGAAUGUAUAUUGAUGUGUAGCUCUGAAUAACUUUAUUUCUCCUCUUUUUUUGCAGGAUUGAUGUGUUGAACCAGCAGCGGCUCAGACCAGGUUAGUCUCCUCCAUGUGAUCCUGGCUACAUUCACUUCCUGCGCUGUGAUGACGCAUUUCCUGCCAUUCGUAGUUUCCACCAGAGGUCUCAAGGACCAAAGAUGGCUUAAAUCUUCCUUGGAUGUCUGAGCGACUUGCUGUCCUCUUCAGACUAUAUUAUUCUUUCUGGUUCUUUUCUGACAACAACUGUUUCCACAGGUUUCUGUUGUUGGUUGGGACAGAAAAUGGCCCUCACAGCCACCGUAGAGGCUCGGUUGCCCUCUACCACAGUGAUGACAGAUGUAUUGAGCAGAAGCAUCUCCUCAGGCUGAAUUCUUCCUGCCGUUUUUCUCGCCAAACGAUGAAGCUGCUGGUCUUUCUCCGCCGACAUCUGCUCCUCUAACUGGUAAGUUUGAUUCUGUUCUUUUUAAACUUGUUUUGGUCGCUGUGAUGACGCAUUUCCUGCCAUUCGUAGUUUCCACCAGAGGUCUCAAGGACCAAAGAUGGCUUAAAUCUUCCUUGGAUGU